CGGGGCAGCAUUUCGGCAAGCAGCAUCUACUACCCCCAUGCCAUGUCCAUGUCCUUCCUACAUGUGAUGCCGAGCUGCCCCAGCCAGCCUCCCAGACGGAACAGCAACGCUCAGCGCCCUUCAGCCCUCCUGCAUCACAGAUCUAACAAUUCAGGGAAGAUAGAUAACGUAUGGUUCCGGCCGGGCAGGAUCCCGUGCAAGAAAAAAAAAACAGGGGUCCUCGCAUGUGAAGCCGGUCUCUUCAAGCCGCUGCAAGGCAUCUUCUGCGCGGUCAUCGCCGCCGUGGCGCCUGGUUUCUAGCCACACCCCUGCAAUAUUCAAUCCAGGGAGCAGGAGGAGUGUAAGCUGACCGGGGAGACGGGUUCAGAUUCUGGAGGGGGAUGAGACGGAGUUCCUUGAACCUGGACCUGGGGAGACAAGGUUCAAGACCCUUGAACAGGGGACAGUGGUCUCUGUAAGCGGCCAGGGGAACUGCAAUAACGACAUGGGGCUACGGCAGCCAGUAGGUCUCCGGUCUAUAGACCUCAAAGGUUAUCUUCCAAGAAACUCACUGGAUCCAUUUUUGGGCGUUGCUGCAGAAGGAGGAUGACAGACCUCACGUUCUUGUCGGUUUUUGUGUGCUUGAGACCACGUCUAUGGAGAUCUUUGCCUCAAAUGGAUGGUCUUUUAGUAAUAGAAUUGCUUUUCGGUGAUUUUGGACUUGUGUUUGAGACUGGAACUCUUUUCUUUGAGCUUGGGACGUACUUGUGUAUAAUAACAUACAGCUAUGUGCAUAAUUUCAUGCAGAGGCUGGAAUAUUGAAAUAUAUUCUCUUUUCUAAAAA